rnacentral:piRNA from 1 species
UCAGAAGUUGAUAUCGGGGGUCUUUC